AGAGAGAGAGAGAGUACGAUUGGCGUUAGAUUUUCUCGCAUCAGGUUUAUGUAGAAGAGAGUUUUUUAUUUUUUCUUUUCCAUUUAAAGUCUGUCAUGGCAUCAUAGUUGUUACCCUUACACAGUUAUUGCUGAUAAAUAAACAUGACUGCACAAAUAAGCAGUCGUUGUCACAAAUCCGAUGAUCAUCAUUAGUGAUCGCGAUCUAUCCCACGUGAUUGUACCCCCGGCACGUACAAUGGCCUCAUCUCUUUUCUGGCACCCUACUUGCUAACUAUACUUCAAUAUAUGGCUAACGAAAAGCUAAGGAAACGGGAAACCAAGCUACUUACGCCCCGUUUAUCAAGAAGGAAAUACUCCCCAACAGAGUUUUACCCUUUGUUUGCA
rnacentral:misc_RNA from 1 species